AGGCAUGUGGUUUAAUUUCGAAGCAACGCGAAGAACCUUACCAGGCCUUGACAUGCAGAGAACUUUCCAGAGAUGGAUUGGUGCCUUCGGGAACUCUGACACAGGUGCUGCAUGGCUGUCGUCAGCUCGUGUCGUGAGAUGUUGGGUUAAGUCCCGUAACGAGCGCAACCCUUGUCCUUAGUUACCAGCACGUUAUGGUGGGCACUCUAAGGGGACUGCCGGUGACAAACCGGAGGAAGGUGGGGAUGACGUCCAGUCACCAUGGCCCUUACGGCCUGGGCUACACACGUGCUACAAUGGUCGGUACAAAGGGUUGCCAAGCCGCGAGGUGGAGCUAAUCCCAUAAAACCGAUCGUAGUCCGGAUCGCAGUCUGCAACUCGACUGCGUGAAGUCGGAAUCGCUAGUAAUCGUGAAUCAGAAUGUCACGGUGAAUACGUUCCCGGGCCUU
rnacentral:rRNA from 1 species